CCUACGGGUGGCAGCAGUGGGGAAUAUUGCACAAUGGGGGAAACCCUGAUGCAGCGACGCCGCGUGAGCGAUGAAGUAUUUCGGUAUGUAAAGCUCUAUCAGCAGGGAAGAAAAUGACGGUACCUGACUAAGAAGCCCCGGCUAACUACGUGCCAGCAGCCGCGGUAAUACGUAGGGGGCAAGCGUUAUCCGGAUUUACUGGGUGUAAAGGGAGCGUAGACGGCUUGGCAAGCCAGAUGGGAAAGGCUGGGGCUCAACCCCAGGACUGCCUUUGAAACUGUGAUGCUAGAGUGUCGGAGAGGCAGGCGGAAUUCCUGGUGUAGCGGUGAAAUGCGUAGAUAUUAGGCAGAACACCGAUGGCGAAGGCAGCCUGCUGGAGGAUGACUGACGUUGAGGCACGAAAGCGUGGGGAGCGAACAGGAUUAGAUACCCUGGUAGUC
rnacentral:rRNA from 1 species